rnacentral:rRNA from 1 species
GACGAACUUUGGCGGCGUGCUUAACACAUGCAAGUCGAACGGUAAGGCUCCAGCUUGCUGGGGUACACGAGUGGCGAACGGGUGAGUAACACGUGGGUGACCUGCCCUGCACUUCGGGAUAAGCCUGGGAAACUGGGUCUAAUACCGGAUAGGACCGCACCGUGAGGGUGUGGUGGAAAGUUUUUUCGGUGUGGGAUGGGCCCGCGGCCUAUCAGCUUGUUGGUGGGGUAAUGGCCUACCAAGGCGGCGACGGGUAGCCGGCCUGAGAGGGUGGACGGCCACAUUGGGACUGAGACACGGCCCAGACUCCUACGGGAGGCAGCAGUGGGGAAUAUUGCACAAUGGGCGGAAGCCUGAUGCAGCGACGCCGCGUGGGGGAUGACGGCCUUCGGGUUGUAAACUCCUUUCACCAUCGACGAAGGGUUUCUGACGGUAGAUGGAGAAGAAGCACCGGCUAACUACGUGCCAGCAGCCGCGGUAAUACGUAGGGUGCGAGCGUUGUCCGGAAUUACUGGGCGUAAAGAGCUCGUAGGUGGUUUGUCGCGUCGUCUGUGAAAUUCCGGGGCUUAACUCCGGGCGUGCAGGCGAUACGGGCAUAACUUGAGUACUGUAGGGGAGACUGGAAUUCCUGGUGUAGCGGUGAAAUGCGCAGAUAUCAGGAGGAACACCGGUGGCGAAGGCGGGUCUCUGGGCAGUAACUGACGCUGAGGAGCGAAAGCAUGGGGAGCGAACAGGAUUAGAUACCCUGGUAGUCCAUGCCGUAAACGGUGGGCGCUAGGUGUGGGUUUCCUUCCACGGGAUCCGUGCCGUAGCUAACGCAUUAAGCGCCCCGCCUGGGGAGUACGGCCGCAAGGCUAAAACUCAAAGGAAUUGACGGGGGCCCGCACAAGCGGCGGAGCAUGUGGAUUAAUUCGAUGCAACGCGAAGAACCUUACCUGGGCUUGACAUAUACAGGAUCGCGCCAGAGAUGGUGUUUCCCUUGUGGCUUGUAUACAGGUGGUGCAUGGUUGUCGUCAGCUCGUGUCGUGAGAUGUUGGGUUAAGUCCCGCAACGAGCGCAACCCUUGUCUUAUGUUGCCAGCACGUUGUGGUGGGGACUCGUAAGAAACUGCCGGGGUUAACUCGGAGGAAGGUGGGGAUGACGUCAAAUCAUCAUGCCCCUUAUGUCCAGGGCUUCACACAUGCUACAAUGGUCGGUACAGUGGGUUGCCAGUCCGUGAGGGCGAGCUAAUCCCGCAAAGCCGGUCUCAGUUCGGAUCGGGGUCUGUAACUCGACCCCGUGAAGUCGGAGUCGCUAGUAAUCGCAGAUCAGCAACGCUGCGGUGAAUACGUUCCCGGGCCU